UACGAAGGGGGGCUAGCGUUGCUCGGAAUUACUGGGCGUAAAGGGCGCGUAGGCGGGUCGUUAAGUUGGGGGUGAAAGCCCGGGGCUCAACUCCGGAAUUGCCUUUGAGACUGGAAGGCUUGAUCGUCGGAGAGGUGAGUGGAAUUCCGAGUGUAGAGGUGAAAUUCGUAGAUAUUCGGAAGAACACCAGUGGCGAAGGCGGCUCACUGGACGACUGAUGACGCUGAGGUGCGAAAAGCGUGGGGGAGCAAACAGG
rnacentral:rRNA from 1 species